rnacentral:lncRNA from 1 species
CCCAUAUACUGUAGAUCACCACACCCUGGCGCUUUGAUAUAAAAACACAGAACGCGUUUCAGAAACAGUCUUUGUGCAGUUCGCAACACAGCCACACGGGGGCGCUUCGGCACACCGCAGAAACACGGUCUCCGUGCGGUUUACAUAGAGAGCCACACGAGGGCGGUCUAGCUUAUCGGUAGAACCUUCCGAGAACCUUUGAGCCACGGAAGUAAAUGUUCCAAAUCCCUUUUGCACGCUCUUUAAUGGCAGCACUGGGAGAAGGUACAAGUGACAUUUUGUAACAAGUAAACCCAUUCAGAAUUGAAGUGUGCGAAAACCGUAUCGUCGUUUCGCUGCACACGCCGGUGAGAUAAAUGUCUGACUUACUGCAGCACGAUGAAUAUACCGGCUUCAAAAGCGAAGAAGAACGUCAGCGCCGCACAGGCUGCGCUUUCCGGUGCGGUAAUGAGCGUCUUUACAGACUGAUCGCGAACGCAAACGCCGGAGCAGCGCCGGCGGGGAGCGACGCGGCGGAUCCCGGCUUGUUGUUCUCCAACGAGGAGGACGUGCGCCAGAUCGAAGAGGCCGUGAAAGCGGCCAUAGCGACGGUCGUGAAGGUCUUCUGCUCCGUGAGCGAUGCGAGGAUGCAGGAGUGCCGGAGGGAAGCGGCCGAGAGGCAGCGAGAGAACCGCCGGCUCAGGGUCCGGCUGGCAGCGGCCGAGACGGAGCUGCUGUGGCUGCGGCGACUCGCGGGGCCGCUAGAGGGCGCCGGAGCGGCGGACGGAGACACGCGGGCCGCCCGACGCCUCCACUCCGAUCCGCCUGCAGCCGAGAGGGCGGAGAGGGCGGAGAAGAAGAGUGCGGUUGGCGACGACAAGUCAGCUUCGCGGAGUGUGGAUCAGGAGCUGCUUCUUGAACCGCUGUCGAGACGGGCCGCGGAGAGUCCUUGUGAGAGGACAGUUACCCCGGUAAACCCUCCAGCUAGGAAUGAUGCAGCACGCAUUCCAGAGGUUUCCUUCACUGAGGUUUCUGAUCAGCAGGGUCACGGGAGGAAGCCAAAAAGCGUCUCCCGCUCUGAAGUCCACUCGGAGCCGGAGAGGAACCCCAGGCUCUCCGCAAGCCCAGGAAAGCAUCUCCAUAUGAAAGAAGAGCCUUCUGACUUUGAAACCGUGUAUGUCAAGUGGGAGGUGUGUGAGGAGCAUGUCAGAAGACAGGAGGAUGACCCCGGGUCUAACCGUCUCUUGCGGAAAAAGGACGAGCCGCAUAUAAGCCCUGUAUCUUUCGGCACGUUACCGUCCCCUGGAGCUGGACCUCAGGACGCUGCGGAUGCCCAUGACGCCAGCUUGGUGCCAUCUGCUCUGUUGGGCAGGACAGCGGUGACCUCGCUGGCUCAGAGGCUGUCAAACCGAGAACGGCAGAAGCGGUACAGGGAGAAAAUCCGAGCGGAUCCUGAGCGGCAGCGGAUUUACAGGGAGAAGGACCGCUGCAGAUACCAGAAGAGGAGGAAGCUGAUCUGUGAACUGCCGGAACAAACUCAGAAGCUCCGAAGGCAGGCGUGGAGGGAGGCGGCAAGGCGCCAUCGUGCCCGGAAAAAAUCCUGCCUCCAAAUCGCCCAGUUUCCAAGCCUCGGGAACGUAGAAUCAGCUAUUAAUUCAACGGGUCACCCGGAAAGCUAGCGGCGAUACGGCCCCGUUACGGGGCCAUCCGGACUCCUCGCGAUGAUGAGUUCUCCGACAGCGAACUCGGAAAGCUCAAAAAAAUGUACUCAUCUAGGUAGCUUUUUAUGUACUCUUUGCGAUUUUAACAAUGACGCGCUCUGGCAAACGUCUCAUUCGUCUUCCUGUAUAACUUAUUAAAAAUCGAGACUGAAACUUUGUAGUGCUUGUCUGUUGAUGUAAGUCGCUGCCUCGGAAGGGUAACUGUACGUAUCGAGAUCCUUCGCUCGGUGCUGUCAGCGUAAGGUUCUUGCAACGGAAUAUCGCGCUGAUGUUAAUCAAAGAAACGCUAAUGAAGACACUUUCCAUAGGUAUUAUUUCAAAAGCCUUUUGGUUUUAUUCAUUUCAUUUGCCAGUGUCUGCAGGCAUUUUCUAUAGGAUAUUAAGUUUGUAUUCUAUAUAACUUGUACACCCAUACAGAAUUUGCCUAGUGUGAAAUGUACUCUAAUAUCAAGGAUGUUCAAGGUCCUUCAUAGGAGGAAAGCCUUUGUUAUGCAUAUAAGGCAUAAUUUGUUUAUAACUUAAAAAAAUACAUUACUUACCAGUAAUGUUUAGUAAAUAGUAUCUGAUGGUAGAUAUAACACUUGUGUUUUGCAGAUCAGUUGCUUUUGUUUCUUUUCCAGAACCAUUAUCGGCAGUAUUUAAGUAAAAAUGAUGGAUGAAUAUUUUGUUUUGCUGUUCUAGUACUGCAAAGGAAAUGCGUGCGCACACACACACACAGUCUAAAACCUCUUGUCCUAGGUGAGGUUGCGGGGAGCCAGAGCCUAACCUGGCAACACAGGGCGUAAGGCUGGAGGGGGAAGGGGACACGCCCAGGACGGGACGCCAGUCCAUUGCAAGGCACCCCAAGCGGGACUCGAACCCCAGACCCACUGGAGAGCGGGACCCGGUCCAACCCACCUGGAAAUAAAUAUUUUAUUUGCUUAUUCA